UUACCUGGGCUUAAAUGUAGAGUGCAUUUUUUAGAGAUAGAAAUCCCUUCGGGGCUUUCUGCAAGGUGCUGCAUGGUUGUCGUCAGCUCGUGCCGUGAGGUGUCGGGUUAAGUCCCAUAACGAGCGCAACCCUUAUCGUUAGUUGCCAUCUGGUAAUGCAGGGGACUCUAGCGAAACUGCCACCGUAAGGUGAGAGGAAGUGGGGAUGACGUCAAAUCAGCACGGCCCUUAUGUCCAGGGCUACACACGUGUUACAAUGGUCGGUACAGAGGGCAGCUACCUGGUGACAGGAUGCUAAUCUCGAAAACCGGUCUCAGUUCGGAUCGAAGUCUGCAACUCGACUUCGUGAAGCUGGAUUCGCUAGUAAUCGCGCAUCAGCUAUGGCGCGGUGAAUACGUUCCCGGGCCUU
rnacentral:rRNA from 1 species